rnacentral:lncRNA from 1 species
AGUGAUCCUCAAAGUUCAGAUCUGAGUGUGCCAUAGCCAUACAAGACAAUUGCUGGUCCCAUAAUUCUGGUUUCAGUGUGAAUAGAACAGCUAGUACGGGCCUUUGAUGAUAUUAGAUGGUCCACAUUUAGUUUUCGCUAUGAUGAGUUCAUUUGAAAUUUCAGUUUACCAUGUUGAUUUUGACAGUUUCUGGAAAAUCUGGUGUUUGCCUCUAAGAGAUAUGAGAAUGGAUUUAUCUGGGAAAUGCCUAUUCUCUAAAUUCCUGGUUCAUUUUUGUUUUGAUAUACCAAUUGGGAAAAAGAAAAUCAUCAAUGCUCAAUUUUACCUGUAUUUAUUGAGGAUGUUCCA